rnacentral:rRNA from 1 species
AGCAGCCGCGGUAAUUCCAGCCCCAAUAGCGUAUAUUAAAGUUGCUGCAGUUAAAAAGCUCGUAGUUGAAUUUCGGGAUCAUCAUGUCGGUCGUGCCUCGGUACGUACUGGCAUUGUUGGUUUCUACCUUCUGACGAACCAUGAUGUCAUUAAUUUGGUGUCUUGGGGAAUCAGGACUGUUACUUUGAAAAAAUUAGAGUGUUUAAAGCAGGCUCGCGCUUGAAUACAUUAGCAUGGAAUAAUGAAAUAGGACGUUUGAUUCUAUUUUGUUGGUUUCUAGGAUCGACGUAAUGAUUAAUAGGGAUAGUUGGGGGCAGUUAGUAUUCAAUUGUCAGAGGUGAAAUUCUUGGAUUUUA